GGGGAGGAGGUGAGGAAUAGAUGUAAUGUGGUGGAGGUGGGGAAUGGACAGGUGGAGGUGGUGAUGCAUAGACAUAGUGUGGUGGAGGUGGUGAGUGAACGGGAGGUGGAGGAGACUUAUACUUGUAAAUAGGUGGUGGUGGAGAUGAGUAUUUGUAUUCUUUCUUUGGUGGUGAUGGAGAUUUGUAAUAGUAUGGAGGGGGACGAGAAUGCACCGGUGGUGGUGGAGAUGAGUAUUUGUAAGGAGGAGGAGGAGAAUGGACUGGGGGAGGAGGAGACUUAUACUUGUAAAUAGGUGGUGGUGGAGAUGGAUACUUGUAUUCUUUCUUUGGUGGUGGUGGAGAUUUGUAAUAAUACGGUGGAGGAGGAGAAUGCACCGGUGGUGGUGGAGAUGGAUACUUGUAAGGAGGAGGAGGAGAAUGGACCGGUGGAGGAGGAGACUGAUACUUGUAAACAGGUGGUGGUGGAGAUGGGUACUUAUAUUCCUUCUUUGGUGGUGGUGGAGAUUUGUAAUAGUAUGGUGGGGGAGGAGAAUGCACCGGUGGUGGUGGAGAUGAGUACUUAUAAGGUGGUGGAGGAGAAUGAACCGGUGGAGGAGGAGACUUAUACUUGUAAACAGGUGGUGGUGGAGAUGGGUACUUAUAUUCCUUCUUUGGUGGUGGUGGAGAUUUGUAAUAGUAUGGUGGGGGAGGAGAAUGCACAGGUGGUGGUGGAGAUGAGUACUUAUAAGGUGGUGGAGGAGAAUGAACCGGUGGAGGAGGAGACUUAUACUUGUAAACAGGUGGUGGUGGAGAUGGGUACUUAUAUUCCUUCUUUGGUGGUGGUGGAGAUUUGUAAUAGUAUGGUGGGGGAGGAGAAUGCACAGGUGGUGGUGGUGAGAGAUACUUAUAGGGAGGAGGAGGUGAAUGAACAGGAGGAGGAGGUGACUUGUACUUAUAAACAGGUGGUGGUGGGGAUGAGUAUUUGUAUGGCUUCUUAUGUGGUGGUGGAGGUGAUGAAUACUUGUAUGGAGGAG
rnacentral:lncRNA from 1 species